rnacentral:rRNA from 1 species
UACGGGGGGAGCAAGCGUUGUUCGGAUUUACUGGGCGUAAAGGGCGCGUAGGCGGUCAGCACAAGUCAGUUGUGAAAUCUCCGGGCUUAACUCGGAAAGGUCAACUGAUACUGUGCGACUAGAGUGCAGAAGGGGCAACUGGAAUUCUCGGUGUAGCGGUGAAAUGCGUAGAUAUCAGGAAGAACACCGGUGGCGAAAGCGCUCUGCUAGGCCGCAACUGACACUGAGAGACGAAAGCUAGGGGAGCGAAUGGG